rnacentral:rRNA from 1 species
UACAGAGGGGGCAAGCGUUGUUCGGAAUUACUGGGCGUAAAGGGUGCGUAGGCGGCGCGGUAAGUCGGGUGUGAAAUCUCGGAGCUUAACUCCGAAACUGCAUUCGAUACUGCCGUUCUUGAGGGCGAGAGAGGAGGGUGGAAUUCCUGGUGUAGCGGUGAAAUGCGUAGAGAUCAGGAGGAACACCCGUGGCGAAGGCGGCCCUCUGGCUCGACCCUGACGCUGAGGCGCGAAAGCGUGGGGAGCGAACGGG